rnacentral:lncRNA from 1 species
AUCUUUCCAACACUGAGAUGCUUCUGCCGAAGAGUAGAAUGGGAGUGAGGGGACACGCAAAACGGGCUGCUGCCGGAGGAAGAGGAACAGUGUUGUGGCUCAUGCCAUAUGAAUGGGCUCACUGGCCUGGCCCAGACCCUGACUGCCCACAGGAUCUUUGACAGAGAAACGGAGGCACAGAGAAGGAAGCGGCAGUUAAAGCUGCGAAGAACCUAACAAAUUUCAAGAUUGUAAGUGCCUUUUCCCAGGAUGCCAGCAAGUACUGAGGCAAGUAUGAUUGCCCUAGGUGCCAACUCUUAUUUGCACUUAACACAUUUACUUCCUCCUUCUUUCCCCCUCCUUUUUAUUAACUCUGUUGCUUUUACAGCCUGUAUUUUGAGCUGCAUCAAACCCUGUUGGAAUAAAAAAGGACAU